CCACCUCCUGACAGCAGCAGUUUUACCAUAAUGGUGGUAUUUUGUGAUGAGGCCUUGUGUGUACGUACAGCCUUGAUGUUAGCUAGCGGUACUUGGAGGUCAUGCCUGUCAGUUGACGAGAGUGUGAUUGUAUAUCGAGCCAAAAUAGCCAGACUUUGGUUAUUUUAUAUUCUACAUCUACGUUAUCUCCAGUUUCUGGUAACAGAUUAUGUAAACUUGUGGCAGCAAGGACAGAAUUGAUGACAGGGACUACGAACUGUUGGCUAGUAUUAGCCAUGCUAGUCGGUUUGUGGCGACACCGAAAUCUUAAUUCCUGUGCAAGCUGCGCUUCCGCCUCCUGCUAAGGUCAGAGCUGUAAGGGAGGAAGAGAGGUGCGCUUAACUAAGAGUUCACCUUCUAUACUAGUAAGCAUUUAUCAAAAUUUCUGGUGAUUUUUAAAAAGGGCAAA